GUGGGGUUCGUGGAUUCGUGAGGUAUGGACACUAACGACAGACGCUCAGCAGGAAAAGGCUGGUCGGGAUCAGGCCGGGUAGGGGCAGACACAGCUGCAGUGUGCAUGAUACCUUUCAAAUGAGCAUUGAUGUCACCAUCCUUACCGCGAGGAAUAACAGUACUGAGUCUUGUUCAUACGAAGAUGUGGGUGAUGCCAAAGGACGCUGCUGAUCAGACUCAACAGAGGUGCGGGUGCUGGAAGAGGCCGACCAAUUCCCAGAAGAAGAUAAGGCUACCAGAAAAGAACCACACAAUCAAAAUGAUUGGACCAAAAUCUGGGAAAUACAAUGCAUGUCUGGACAACGCCGGGAUAAGUCAGUCAAAGAUUUGGUUCAUGGCUAGGAAUUUGGCAAGAGUCCAGACUGUGUCACUUCAAAACAAAGGGUGCCUGUCUCUCACUUCUCCCCUGAAUCUCAUUGUUAUACAGUUUUUUUUGUUUAUUUAUUUUAUGCAAUAUUAAACUUGCCAACCCAGUCUUGGAAACUCCUAUCUGGAAAUCUUCAGGUUCAAAGCAUGAAGACCAAAUAGCCUUUUUGCA